rnacentral:tRNA from 1 species
UCCAAUGUGGUGUAGUGGCUAACAUUGCUGUCUUUCAUCCGUGAAUUCGCUCUGCGAGUAUGUAACACAGCAGCCCGGGGUUCGAUUCCCCGCAUUGGAA